rnacentral:rRNA from 1 species
GAUGAACGCUGGCGGCGUGCUUAACACAUGCAAGUCGAACGAUGAAGCCCAGCUUGCUGGGUGGAUUAGUGGCGAACGGGUGAGUAACACGUGAGUAACCUGCCCUUGACUCUGGGAUAAGCCUGGGAAACUGGGUAUAAUACUGGAUAUGACUUCUCAUCGCAUGGUGGGGGGUGGAAAGAUUUAUUGGUCUUGGAUGGACUCGCGGCCUAUCAGCUUGUUGGUGAGGUAAUGGCUCACCAAGGCGACGACGGAUAGCCGGCCUGAGAGGGUGACCGGCCACACUGGGACUGAGACACGGCCCAGACUCCUACGGGAGGCAGCAGUGGGGAAUAUUGCACAAUGGGCGCAAGCCUGAUGCAGCGACGCCGCGUGAGGGAUGACGGCCUUCGGGUUGUAAACCUCUUUCAGUAGGGAAGAAGCGGGAGUGACGGUACCUGCAGAAGAAGCGCCGGCUAACUACGUG